UUACGGCCAUAUCACGUUGAAACACCGGUUCUUGCCCGAUCAGUGAAGUUAAGUAACGUUGAAACUGGUUAGUACCGAGAUGAGGGACCGCUGGGAAUGCCAGAUGCUGUAAG